rnacentral:rRNA from 1 species
GAUGAACGCUGGCGGCGUGCCUAAUACAUGCAAGUCGAGCGAACAGAUAAGGAGCUUGCUCCUUUGACGUUAGCGGCGGACGGGUGAGUAACACGUGGGUAACCUACCUAUAAGACUGGGAUAACUUCGGGAAACCGGAGCUAAUACCGGAUAACAUUUGGAACCGCAUGGUUCUAAAGUGAAAGAUGGUUUUGCUAUCACUUAUAGAUGGACCCGCGCCGUAUUAGCUAGUUGGUAAGGUAACGGCUUACCAAGGCAACGAUACGUAGCCGACCUGAGAGGGUGAUCGGCCACACUGGAACUGAGACACGGUCCAGACUCCUACGGGAGGCAGCAGUAGGGAAUCUUCCGCAAUGGGCGAAAGUCUGACGGAGCAACGCCGCGUGAGUGAUGAAGGGUUUCGGCUCGUAAAACUCUGUUAUUAGGGAAGAACAAAUGUGUAAGUAACUGUGCACGUCUUGACGGUACCUAAUCAGAAAGCCACGGCUAACUACGUG